rnacentral:rRNA from 1 species
AGUGAACGCUGGCGGUAGGCCUAACACGUGCAAGUCGAACGGCAGCACAGGAGAGCUUGCUCUCUGGGUGGCGAGUGGCGGACGGGUGAGGAAUACAUCGGAAUCUACUCUGUCGUGGGGGAUAACGUAGGGAAACUUACGCUAAUACCGCAUACGACCUACGGGUGAAAGCAGGGGAUCUUCGGACUUUGCGCGAUUGAAUGAGCCGAUGUCGGAUUAGCUAUUUGGCGGGGUAAAGGCCCACCAAGGCGACGAUCCGUAGCUGGUCUGAGAGGAUGGUCAGCCACACUGGAACAGAGACACGGUGCAGACUCCUACGGGAGGCAGCAGUGGGGAAUAUUGGACAAUGGGCGCGAGCCUGAUCCAGCCAUACCGCGUGGGUGAAGAAGGCCUUCGGGUUGUAAAGCCCUUUUGUUGGAAAGAAAUCCAGCUGGCUAAUACCCGGUUGGGAUGACGGUACCCAAAGAAUAAGCACCGGCUAACUUCGUGCCAGCAGCCGCAGUAA